UACGGAGGGUGCAAGCGUUGUCCGGAAUCUCUGGGCGUAAAGGGCGCGUAGGCGGCUCAUGAAGGCUGUGGUGAAAGUCCGGGGCUCAACCUCGGAUCGGCCGUGGCGACUCGUGGGCUGGAGCACUGUAGAGGCGGGUGGAAUUCCGGGUGUAGCGGUGGAAUGCGUAGAGAUCCGGAAGAACACCAGUGGCGAAGGCGGCCCGCUGGGCAGUGGCUGACGCUGAGGCGCGACAGCGUGGGGAGCAAACAGG
rnacentral:rRNA from 1 species